CCUAUGGGAGGCAGCAGUGGGGAAUAUUGGACAAUGGGGGCAACCCUGAUCCAGCCAUGCCGCGUGUGUGAAGAAGGCCCUCGGGUUGUAAAGCACUUUCAGUGAGGAAGAACGCCUGGUGGUUAAUACCCAUCAGGAAAGACAUCACUCACAGAAGAAGCACCGGCUAACUCCGUGCCAGCAGCCGCGGUAAUACGGAGGGUGCGAGCGUUAAUCGGAAUUACUGGGCGUAAAGCGCGCGUAGGUGGCUUGAUAAGCCGGUUGUGAAAGCCCCGGGCUCAACCUGGGAACGGCAUCCGGAACUGUCAAGCUAGAGUGCAGGAGAGGAAGGUAGAAUUCCCGGUGUAGCGGUGAAAUGCGUAGAGAUCGGGAGGAAUACCAGUGGCGAAGGCGGCCUUCUGGACUGACACUGACACUGAGGUGCGAAAGCGUGGGUAGCAAACAGGAUUAGAUACCCUUGUAGUC
rnacentral:rRNA from 1 species